rnacentral:rRNA from 1 species
CCUGCCCAAGAGAUCGGGAUAACACCUGGAAACAGAUGCUAAUACCGGAUAACAACAGAUGAUGCCUAUCACCUGUUUAAAAGAUGGUUCUGCUAUCACUCUUGGAUGGACCUGCGGUGCAUUAGCUAGUUGGUAGGGUAACGGCCUACCAAGGCGAUGAUGCAUAGCCGAGUUGAGAGACUGAUCGGCCACAUUGGGACUGAGACACGGCCCAAACUCCUACGGGAGGCAGCAGGU